GAUGAACGCUGACAGAAUGCUUAACACAUGCAAGUCAUUGGCGAAGCUGCGCUUGCGCAGUCUAGCCAAGGCGGACGGGUGAGUAACGCGUAAGGAACUUGCCCUGCAGACAGGGAUAACAGACGGAAACGACUGAUAACACCUGGUAUUGUCAGGCUGGCGCAUGCCGGCCUUAUGAAAGGAGACGCUGCAGGAGAGCCUUGCGUCCUAUUAGCUAGUUGGUGGGGUAACGGCCCACCAAGGCGAUGAUAGGUAGCCGGCCUGAGAGGGUGAACGGCCACAAGGGGACUGAGAUACGGCCCUUACUCCUACGGGAGGCAGCAGUGGGGAAUAUUGGACAAUGGGGGCAACCCUGAUCCAGCAAUUCUGUGUGCACGAAGAAGGUUUUCGGAGUGUAAAGUGCUUUCAGCAGGGAAGAAGAAAGUGACGGUACCUGCAGAAGAAGCGACGGCUAAAUACGUG
rnacentral:rRNA from 1 species